CCUCCUGUGGCAUCACUGACUUUAUCCAUAAAACUCUGCCUAGUGCCUUUGACUUCUUGCAAAACGCUCCUCUAUGGCUUCUCUGACUUCGUGUUCACACACCCCAUAUCAUCUCUGACUUUGGGUGUCACUCUCUCUCUCUGGUGUCUUUGACUUCGUGUGUAACACUGCUGUCUUUAACUUCAUGCGUAACACUCCCCCUGGUGUCUUUAACUUCGUUCAUAACACUCUGCCUGGUAUGUUUGAUUUUGUUUGUAACACUCCCCCUUGUGUCUCUAACUUCAUGUUUUAACACUCCACCUGUAGUCUCUGAUGUCAUCUGUGACCCUCCCCCUGAUGUCUCUGAAUUCAUGUGUAACAAUCCACAUGGUGUCUCUGACUUCCCUUGCAUCUCUGACUUGGUCUAUAACACUACCCCUGGUGUCUCUGACUUCGAGUGUAGCACUCUGCAUGGUGUCUGUGUCGUCCUGUAUCACACUCCCCUUGGUGUUGAGUUCGUGUGUAACACUCCCCUGGCAACUCUGACUUCUUCUGUAACACUCCACGUGGCAUCUCUGACUUCAUGUGUCACAAUCCCUCUGGCAUAUCUGACUUCAUUUGUCACAGUAACCCUGGUGUCUGUGACUUCAUGUGUCACACUCUCCCUGUCAUCAUGACUUCAUGUGUAAUAAUCCUCAUGCUGUCUGUCUUCUCAUGUCACACUCUGCCUCUCAUCCCUGACUUCAUAUAUCACACUCCUUCUGGCAUCUCUGACUUUGUAACACUGAACAUGGCAUCUUUGACUUUGUGUGUCACAUUUCCUCUAGUGUCUCUGAGUUUAUGGGUCACAAUUCCACUGCUGUCUAUAACAUCAUAUGUAGCACUCCCACUGGCAUCUGUGACAGUGUAUAACUUUCACCUUGGCCUCUCUGACUUCAUGUAUAAUAUUCCUGGUGGCAUCUAUGACUUCGUGUGUCACACUCCCUGUGGCAUCUCAGAUGUCAUGCAAAUCACUCCCUUUGGCAUCCCUGACUUCAUGUGUAACACAUCCUCGUGAUGUCUCUGACUUCAUUGUAACACUACCCCAGGCAUCAGUGACUUCGUGUGUAACACUCACACUGGCAUCUCUGGCUUCGUGUUUCAUAGUCUCAUGGCAUCUCUCACAUCAUGUGGUAAACUACAUGUGCCCUCUCUAACUUCAUUUGUAGCACACGUCCUGGAGUCUCUGGUUCCACGUGUUACCCUUCCCCAG
rnacentral:lncRNA from 1 species